GGAUAAUGGAGCCCUGAUUAGAGUAGCACCUGGUUAAUCAAGUUUGCAACUCCUGAAAGGUCAGCUGAGCACUGAUGUAGGAAAAGAAGAAAGCAAAGUAACAAGCCCCCCUCAAGGAGACAUUUUGGUUAUUCCAGGCCCAAGGAAUAUUUAAUCAGAAAGCAGUUUCUCAGCACUUCACAAUGAAAAAGAUUCAGCAAUAAAGAUGAAAAUAAAAACUGCCCAAAAUGGGGAGGAAGACACCACUUCCAUACCGUACAAACGACAUCUUCCACGUCAUCAAACACCUUUCUCUAAGUCUCCCAAGUACAGCUAAUGGCUCUCCACAUCUCCCAAGAGGAAGGUAUUUUACAAAUGAACAGUUCUCCUGCACAGGAACUGUCCCAGAAUAUGUGGGGGAACAAACUCACAACAUUCAGUGCUCCACAGCCUGAAGUAGCAGCCUCAUUCCACCUAAGGAUAGCACUGGUCUUGUUCCUUAACUGCAUCAACCUUAAUUAGAUAAAUUCAGUGUUGCUGUUUGAAAGCAUAUGGCCAGAUGAAA